GCGAGGACGAGUCUGCUCGGUCUUCCAAGAAAUUCGUUCGACGCGUUCAAGAUUGAAGUCAUUUAAGUGGUCCUGAUCACCGGCAGGCUGGACACAACGACUGAGGGACGGAGACAACGAAGUUUGUGCUUCAUGCACGAACGUUGAUGCGUGAAUUAGAGGAGCCGAGAGUGCAUUUUACACCUGGAUUACACAAGCAAGGAAGCAUGUUACGUCAAGCGAUGUCGUAA